AAGAACACACCUAAGAGCUCAAUGUGGAAGUUUGGAUGUUUUCCUGGGAAGAAUGGUUCCUGAUUUGGGAGACACAAACAAUCAUGGCAAGUAACAGAACAGGUGUGAUCUGCUGGAUACUCAGAGAUCACUUCCUGGAAACACAGGGCUCCUUCUGCAUGAGCUCAAAAAAGUCUCCUGAAUAGAAAGUCAGUCCAACCAGCUUUGGCUUCUACCUACACUGGAGAUGUGAGAGGGAAGCCACUCAGUCCAGGAGAAGGUACUGUGAUGCUGUUACAGCCCCUGGUGAUGCAGGGCUUCCUCGGUCUCUGCAUCCUAGAUUGUCACCCUGAGACAUCUCUGCACUCCACCAGCGUACACAAUGUGGCUCUGGGUUUAAAGCCUUCUCCCUUCUCAGAAGAUGGGUGUCCUAUUCUGGUCACCACACCUGCCCCGCCCCGUACGUUCAGGCACAAGUCCUUCCCCUUCCCUCCCCACUCCAUCCUCCUUGUACUUAGCCAUCACGCCCUUGCUCUUCCGCUGUUCCUUGAUCACUGGCAUCUGGCUCAUGCUUUCACUCCUUCCUCUGCAAUGUUCUCUAGGAUUUCUGCAACCCUACACUCAAGACCCUGAUCUCUAUCCUCCUUGAGCUUUUCCCUGCCAAUGGAGCAUCAGGUGGGGUCAUCCUUCAGUCUCAUAUAAGUCCAUUCAUACAGCAAGAAAUCUAGCUCUUCCAGAAGCCUUUCUCUGAUAAAUGAUCCCAGAGGUAAGCUCUCCCAUGAAUAAAAUUCUAGAAUACA